rnacentral:rRNA from 1 species
UACGUAGGGUGCGAGCGUUGCCCGGAUUUAUUGGGCGUAAAGGGCGCGUAGGCGGCCAUGCACGUCCGUUGUGAAAUCGCCCGGCUCAACUGGGCGGGGUCAGCGGAUACGGUGUGGCUCGAGCAAGCUAGGGGGCAAUGGAAUUCCCGGUGUAGUGGUGGAAUGCGUAGAUAUCGGGCGGAACACCAGCGGCGAAGGCGGCAUCCUGGUCCUGUUCUGACGCUGAGGCGCGAGAGCGUGGGGAGCGAACUGG